rnacentral:rRNA from 4 species
CAUCGCCUCUUGCCAAACAACACGUAUAAGAGGUCCAGCCUGCCCAGUGACUAUAUGUUCAACGGCCGCGGUAUUCUGACCGUGCAAAGGUAGCGUAAUCACUUGUCUUUUAAAUAAAGACUGGUAUGAAUGGCACCACGAAGGUUCAACUGUCUCCUGCAUCCAAUCCAUUAAACUGACCUCCCCGUGCAGAGGCGGGGAUAUGUCCAUAAGACGAGAAGACCCUAUGGAGCUUUAAACUCACGGCAACUGCUAAACAACCUAACCCCCACACGGGAAAACAAACAAUUAAGCAACAAUGACCCAAAGUUUUCGGUUGGGGCGACCACGGAGAAAAAAAAAUCCUCCUUGAUGUACGAGGCCUUACCCUCUUAACCAAGAACGACAGUUCUAAGUAACAAAACAUUUGACCACUAUUGAUCCAGUCCAACUGAUCAACGAACCAAGUUACCCUAGGGAUAACAGCGCAAUCCAUUUCGAAAGUUCCUAUCGACAAAUGGGUUUACGACCUCGAUGUUGGAUCAGGGCAUCCCAGUGGUGCAGCCGCUACUAAAGGUUCGUUUGUUCAACGAUUAAAGCCCU